rnacentral:rRNA from 1 species
AUUGAACGCUGGCGGCAGGCCUAACACAUGCAAGUCGAGCGGUUGACGGGAGCUUGCUCCCUGAUUCAGCGGCGGACGGGUGAGUAAUGCCUAGGAAUCUGCCUAUUAGUGGGGGACAACGUUUCGAAAGGAACGCUAAUACCGCAUACGUCCUACGGGAGAAAGCAGGGGACCUUCGGGCCUUGCGCUAAUAGAUGAGCCUAGGUCGGAUUAGCUAGUUGGUGAGGUAAUGGCUCACCAAGGCGACGAUCCGUAACUGGUCUGAGAGGAUGAUCAGUCACACUGGAACUGAGACACGGUCCAGACUCCUACUGGAGGCAGCAGUGGGGAAUAUUGGACAAUGGGCGAAAGCCUGAUCCAGCCAUGCCGCGUGUGUGAAGAAGGUCUUCGGAUUGUAAAGCACUUUAAGUUGGGAGGAAGGGUUGUAGAUUAAUACUCUGCAAUUUUGACGUUACCGACAGAAUAAGCACCGGCUAACUCUGUGCCAGCCGCCGCAUGUAAAAC